UCUGCUGUCGGCCAACGGCAUGGCAGAGUAGCCAAGUCCGGAAGGGAUAAACGCUGAAGGCAUCUAAGCGUGAAGCCCCCCUCAAGAUGAGAUAUCCCUCACAAAAGUGGGUAAGAUCCCUUGAAGACUACAAGGUAGAUAGGGCAGAGGUGGAAGUGUGGCAACACAUGGAGCUGACUGUUACUAAUCGAUCGAGGGCUUGACCAAA
rnacentral:rRNA from 1 species